rnacentral:rRNA from 1 species
CGUAAUAGCUCACUAGUCGAGUUGUGUUGCGCUGAAAAUGUAUCGGGGCUGAACAGAAUCACCGAAGCGCCAGUUUUUAAGUAGCGAAGCGUUUUGUGCGCCAAUGAACAUACAUCGUAAGAUUUGUGGAAGGUCUCAAAAGUGACUAUGCUGACAUGAGUAACGAAAAAUCAUGUAAAGCCAUGAUCGCCGUAAGUCCAAGGGUUUCUGCUAACUGGGAAUCAGUGCAGAGUUAAGUUCGGUCCCUAAGAGUUUGUAUACACUUAUACGCUCGAUGGAGGACGUUUAUGCAAGACGGCUAUUAUACACAAAUACUGCAAAUUGGAUACGGUGUAUGUGUGUUGUAGUCCAGGAAAAAAGCAUUAAUGCAAGACCGUACCCGAAACCGACACAGGUGGACGAGUCGAGUAGACUCAGGCGUUGAGUGAACCAUAUUGAAGGAACUCGGCAAAAUAAUCCCGUAACUUAGGAAGAAGGGAUACCGAAAGGUGACACAAAAAUGGGGGUGACGACUUUUUACUAAAAAAUUAGGACUCUGCAAAAUGGUAACAUGCUGUAUAGGGUCUGACGUCUGCCCGGUGCUAGAAGUCUAAAAGGCGCAUUGCAAGAUGCAAAUGGAAAGCCUAGUAAACGGCGGUUGUAACUAUAACAAUCAUAAAGUAGCGAAAUUCAUUGCCAGCUAAUUCCUGGCCUGCAUGAAAGACGUAACGAUUGCCCCACUGUCUCCAGUAUGGACUCAGUGAAAUUGAAUUCUCCGUGCAGAUGCGGAGUACGUGCCCCAAGACGAGAAGACCCUGUGCAUCUUUACUGUACAUUUGCAUUGACAAAACGAUGAGCAUGCGUAGGAUAGGUGGGAGUACAUACAUCCUUGAAAUACCACCCUUGCCAUGGGUUUUUUCUUACACCAAAUUUGGUGCACAAUGCAUGUGAGGCAGUUUGACUGGGGCGGUCGCCUCCUAAAAGGUAACGGAGGCGUGCGAAGGUAAACUCAAUGCAAGACGGAAACUUGCUGAAGAGCGUAAUGGUAUAUGUUUGCCUGACUGUAAGAUGUACACAUCAAACAGAGACGAAAGUCGGCCAUAAUGAUCCACAAGUGCCGUGUGGAAGGGCUUGUGCUUAACGAAUCAAAGAUACGCCAGGGAUAACAGGCUGAUAAUUCCCAAGAGUCCUUAUCGACGGAAUUGUUUGGCACCUCGAUGUUGACUGAUCAUAUCCUGGGGCUGAAGAAGGUCCCAAGGGUUCGGCUGUUCGCCGAUUAAAGUGGUACGUGAGCUGGGUUUAGAACGUCGUGAGACAGUUUGGUCCCUAUCUGCCGUGGGCGUUGGAAGUUUGAAGGGGGCUGUUCCUAGUACGAGAGGACCGGAAUGGACAGAUCUCUGGUGGAUCGGUUGUCACGCCAGUGGCAUAGCCGAGUAGCUAAAUCUGGAAAAGAUAAACGCUGAAAGCAUCUAAGCGUGAAACUUGCCCUAAGAUGAGACUUCCCUUGUACUUUAAGUACACUAAAGAGUCGUUCAAGACCAGGACGUUGAUAGGUCAGGUGUGGAAGUGCAGUAAUGCAUGAAGCUAACUGAUACUAAUUGCUCGUGAGGCUUGAUC